UACGUAGGGUGCGAGCGUUGUCCGGAAUUAUUGGGCGUAAAGCGCGUGUAGGCGGCUCUGUAAGUCGGGUGUGAAAUCCCACGGCUCAACCGUGGAAGUGCACUCGAAACUACAGGGCUAGAGUCCUGGAGAGGAAGGUGGAAUGCUUGGUGUAGAGGUGAAAUUCGUAGAUAUCAAGCGGAACACCGGUGGCGAAGGCGGCCUUCUGGACAGUGACUGACGCUGAGACGCGAAAGCGUGGGGAGCAAACAGG
rnacentral:rRNA from 1 species